AGGCGUGGUGGCUCAUGCCUGUAAUCCCAGCACUCUGGGAGGCCAGGGUGGGCAGAUCACGAGGUCAAGAGAUUGAGACCAUCCUGGCUAACAUGGUGAAACCCCGUCUCUACUAAAAAUGCAAAAAGUAGCCGGGCAUGGUGGCAUGCGCCUGUAGUUCCAGCUACUUGGGAGGCUGAGGCAGGAGAAUCGCUUGAACCCAGGAGGCGGAGGUUGCAGUGAGCCGAGACCACGGCAUUGUACUCCAGCCCUGGCGACAGUGUGAGACUCCAUCUCAAAAAAAAAGAAAGAAAGAAAGAAGGAAAGAAAGAAAGAAAGAAAGAAAGAAAGAAAGAAAGAAAGAAAGAAAGAAAGAAAGAAAGAAGGAAGGAAGGAAGGAAGGAAGGAAGGAAGGAAGGAAGGAAAGAGAGAGAGAGAGACAGAGAAAGAAAGAAAGAAAAAGAAAGAACGAAAGAAAACAAAGAAAACUCUCACUUGUCAGAAUGAACAUGGAAAAGAAGGUUUCCAGGUGCCCAGUGAAAGGCAGAGCAGCACUCACAGUCUCAGAGAAUGGGAAAGUGUCUCUAUGGCAAGCAACAGAAAACUUGUCUCACCAUCAUUAUCUCACCAAAUCUACUCAGAGGUAAAGAGGACAAGCUCUCACCAAAUCUACCCAGAGGAAAAGAAGUCGUUAUAUGAAAAAGAUACUUGCACACACAUGUUUACAGCA
rnacentral:lncRNA from 1 species